rnacentral:rRNA from 1 species
UACGGGGGGAGCAAGCGUUGUUCGGAUUUACUGGGCGUAAAGGGCGCGUAGGCGGCCACCGCAAGUCGACUGUGAAAUCUCCAGGCUUAACCCGGAAAGGUCAGCCGAUACUGCGGGGCUAGAAUACGGAAGAGGCGAGUGGAAUUCCUGGUGUAGCGGUGAAAUGCGCAGAUAUCAGGAGGAACACCGAUUGCGAAGGCAGCUCGCUGGGACGUCACUGACGCUGAGACGCGAAAGCGUGGGGAGCAAACAGG